rnacentral:tRNA from 1 species
GGGCCGUUAGCUCAAUUGGUAGAGCACCCGACUCUUAAUCGGAUGGUUGGGGGUUCGAUUCCCUCACGGCCCA